AGAGUUUGAUCAUGGCUCAGGAUGAACGCUGGCGGUAUGCCUAACACAUGCAAGUCGAACGAUGUCUUCGGACAUAGUGGCGGACGGGUGAGUAACGCGUGAGAAUCUGCCUCUAGGAUGGGGAUAACGGUUGGAAACGACCGCUAACACCCAAUAUGCCGUAAGGUGAAAAAUUUAUUGCCUGGAGAGGAGCUCGCGUCUGAUUAGCUAGUUGGUGGGGUAAGAGCUCACCAAGGCUUCGAUCAGUAGCUGGUCUGAGAGGAUGAGCAGCCACACUGGGACUGAGACACGGCCCAGACUCCUACGGGAGGCAGCAGUGGGGAAUUUUCCGCAAUGGGCGAAAGCCUGACGGAGCAAUACCGCGUGAGGGAGGAAUGCCUUUGGGUUGUAAACCUCUUUUCUCAGGGAAGAAGAUCUGACGGUACCUGAGGAAUAAGUAUCGGCUAACUCCGUGCCAGCAGCCGCGGUAAUACGGAGGAUGCAAGCGUUAUCCGGAAUCAUUGGGCGUAAAGCGUCCGCAGGUGGUUUCCAAAGUCUGCUGUUAAAGACUGGAGCUCAACUCCGGAACGGCGGUGGAAACUUGGAAACUAGAGUUCGGUAGGGGUAGCAGGAAUUCCCAGUGUAGCGGUGAAAUGCGUAGAUAUUGGGAAGAACAUCGGUGGCGAAGGCGUGCUACUGGACCGUAACUGACACUCAGGGACGAAAGCUAGGGGAGCGAAAGGGAUUAGAUACCCCUGUAGUCCUAGCUGUAAACGAUGGAAACUAGGUGUGGCUUGUAUCGACCCGAGCCGUGCCGUA
rnacentral:rRNA from 1 species